GUAGGACCACACACCUCAAAUCCCUCCCUAUUUCCCGUACCCUGUCUCUCUCUCUCCUCCCUCACAAUCUCUCAUUCUCUGUCUCUCUCCCUCUCCUUCGAACUCACACAGACGAGCUCCAAAACCACCCUAAAUCUAUACCAACGACGGAGUUAAGACCACCAUCGAACUCCUGGAGACUCCACGAUCACGUAGACACCAAUUUCAGGUAAGUUUUACUUCGGAAAACCUAGAUUCUAAACUCCCUGUGAAAGUGCACUGUUCAUGAUCUUCGAAUUGACUUUGUUUUAGGACAAUCCAAGCUCACAGUGAGCUUAGUAAGGUUCCAAGGAAGCUCGGAGUGCUUCGUUGGAAGUUUUUGGACGUAAGAACUCGGAGAUCGACAAGUUCAAAGUUUGGCCGGAGCUUUCGAGGCAUUUUCCGGCGAAUCCCCGGCGAGUUAGGAGUCGAGGUAGGUAUCAAUCUCUUCGUCUCGUCAAGUACUACAACUUUCCUUUUUGUUUCACUCAAUUUCGUUGAGUAUUGAAGAAGUUAUACUCAUUUGAAAAAUACCCAGUUUCCGGCGACCUCCGAGGCUUUCGAGGCAGUUUCCGGCCAAACCACGGCGAACUAGGUGUUGUGCAAGGUACCAUUUUCUUUGUCUCUUCAAGGGCUACAACUUUCGUUUUUGAAUCACUUGAUUUCGUUGAGAAAUGACAAAGUUAUGACAAUUUGAAAAACUGCCCGGAAAACGGCCGCCGGAAAAACCAGUCCGGCGACCCAAGGAAGAAGAAGGUGCUACAGUUAAAAAAAAAAAAUUAAAUAAAAUUAUUUUAAAAAUAUGUCGACGUCCGUGACGUCGAGUAGAUCACCGUGGUAUAUUCAUAUACCCAAUUUGAGCACCGUAUGAGAAAGUUAUUAAGGAUUGUUGGUUAGGUGUUCGAAUAACGUUUUAUAGUUUUGGUGAAAAUGUGAAUUGACGAUCCGACCGUUGGAUCGUUACCAAACUUUGAUACGUUGUAAUACGUAAUAUUUUUGAGGAUUAUUGGAACUUACGGAUUGGGAAUCCGAGUUACGGAUCUUCCGGAAUUGGAAUUGUAAGUUCCAUAAAAUAAAAUGUUAACCGUCACUUAGUUUUGGAAAUUGACGGAGAUCCGACCGUUGGAUGGUAAUGAAAUUUUAGGAAGUUGUCCUAGAGGUAUAUUGUGGACCUCUGGAAGUUAUGGAUUUAAAAUCUGAGUGGCAGAUCUUCCGGAUCGAACUACGUAGUGACGUAUUUUAUAUAAGUUAUAUAUUCUAUCGACUAUGAAUUCUGAGGUUGGAAUUAAUUAUUGUUUUAGGCGCCGAUCGUCAUGACGCCUUGGCGUAUUGUGCUAGGGAGUUGUAGGGCGAACUCCAGGUGAGUGGGGCAGUUUUGUUUUCCGUAUACAUAUAUACUUGCCGUUUCCCAGAAAUUGAAAAUGCAUGAAAUUAUGCUUUUAAAUGAAAAUGUAUAAAAGUAUAUGAGAUAUAUUAGUUGAGAUGCCAUGCAUAAAAGUAUAUGAAAAGUAUAUAGAAAUGUGAAUCGAAUUGCCAUGCAUGAAAUGAUAUAUGAAAAGUAUGAAUUGAGAUAUGAUGCAUAUGAAUGUGAAAUGGUGCGGCGGACGCACAGAUGAGUAUCAGGUGAGUAUUUAAUUACUGUUAUGAUGAUGUUGAUAUAUAUUGAGCUCAAAUCCUGCACCAUGGUUUAGUGCUUAUAGUAUUCACCGCAUCGCACGCUCGCCUUGGAUCCAAGUAGAUGCUAGUCGUACAGUCCACGCGGAGUGGGUACGACAGGCCAGUCGCGAGAGUGUUAGUGAGAUUCCGACUGGUGGGUGACCUUAGAUUAUGUGCACAGAUGAUUGAUGAGAAAGCACUAGAGCGUAACUUGUGUGCAGAAGGCCGGACGGGUCACAGAGGUGACUCCGGUAGAGUGAUAGUGAUAGAUUUUGAGCUCUAGGUUCAACCGUACAGGGCUAUUAGAGGGCCUCCGGUUGAUUACUUUCUUGCACCUGAUAUGAUUAUUGUUGAUGCAUUCAUCCAUAUUUAACUGUUGAAUUAGACAUGGCAUGGCAUGUUUGAUAAAGAAAAAUGUUGAAAUAGUAAAAAUGAAGUUUUGAGAAUAUAUAUGUAUAUUUUAUAUUUUACAUUUCUGGGAAAGUAUACAGGUUUUACGGAGAGGGGUUACAACGUUUUGAGAAAUGUUUGGAUUUGGAAAAGAAUUGUUUUACUGACCCACUCAAUUUUGGUUUUGCGCCCCUCCAGGUUCAAGAAUCACAAAGGUGUGGUGACUACGAGGAAUUCGACGGUGUUCUGACAGAUUGGACAAAAAUUAGGACUCACCUUCGGGUGUAUCAACUUAUAAAUUGUAUCUUAAAGCUUCCGUACUGUGCAAAUGGUUACGUCACUCUCACGUGACGGCCAGCAUGCCCUCCUUCGGGAUGGGGUGUGUCA
rnacentral:lncRNA from 1 species